GACGAACGCUGGCGGCGUGCCUAAUACAUGCAAGUCGAACGCAUUUUCUUUCACCGUAGCUUGCUACACCGAAAGAAAAUGAGUGGCGAACGGGUGAGUAACACGUGGGUAACCUGCCCAUCAGCGGGGGAUAACACUUGGAAACAGGUGCUAAUACCGCAUAAUUCCAUUUACCGCAUGGUAGAUGGAUGAAAGGCGCUUUUGCGUCACUGAUGGAUGGACCCGCGGUGCAUUAGCUAGUUGGUGGGGUAACGGCCUACCAAGGCUGCGACGCAUAGCCGACCUGAGAGGGUGAUCGGCCACACUGGGACUGAGACACGGCCCAGACUCCUACGGGAGGCAGCAGUAGGGAAUCUUCGGCAAUGGACGCAAGUCUGACCGAGCAACGCCGCGUGAGUGAAGAAGGUUUUCGGAUCGUAAAACUCUGUUGUUAGAGAAGAACAAGGAUGAGAGUGGAAAGUUCAUCCCUUGACGGUAUCUAACCAGAAAGCCACGGCUAACUACGUG
rnacentral:rRNA from 1 species